ensembl:lncRNA
UGCUUUCCGUGCUCUUGGUGCCCGCCGGGCCGGACGCGUCUUCAACUGGCAGGGAGGAGCUGGGCGCUGCCUGGGAGCCUAGCCAGCCAUGUGGGAGGGCAUGGCCGGGCCGGGAGGGGCAGUCAGGGGGCCCCAGCGAGGCUGCUGACUCCGGCGGGACUGCGAGAGUGACCGGCAGGUGGACACACUCAGCCAGAGAGAUCGAAAUCCUGCAAGCGAGUGAGGUAGCGAGAUAGAGAAACAGGAGAGAGAGAGAGAGAGAGAGAGAGAGAGAGAGAGAGAGAGAGAGAGAGAGAGAGAGAGAGAGAGAGAGAGAGAGAGAACUCAGUGGGUAGAGAGAAGGAGAGGGAGAAGGAGGGACAGGGACAGUGACAACCAGCCCCGCGCACUCGCUCCCUGCAGUCACCUCCUCCCACCCGAACUAAGGAAGUGGCCGGAGCGCAAAGUAGCAAAGUAUCAGAGACACUGCGGGCUCCCCGCAUUGCUGGCGGGACCGCAGGUCGCAGAGGGGCGGACAGAUCAGCGCAAGGACUGGCUGCAGGAGACGGUGCCUACUCCGGAGAGAGAGGAGCGGAGCAAAACCUGGACAUCACCCCCAUCCCUUUCCUGAAGCAGACAGACUAACAGACAGGCAAAUAGACAGGAGCUCAACAGCCUGGAGUGACAUACAGGCUCUCUAGCAGCGACGACCUCCAAGCGUCCGGAGCGGCGACAGUCCGGGCAGUCGCAGCCACGCGUUCCCCACCAGCGCUGUGCCUGGGCAGCGCAGCCUGGGGACCCCUGCCUCCAAGCCGAGAGCUCCUUUUGCUAGCAGUUAAAUAAAUCGACCAAGCCAAGGCAAGCCACAAACCAAACUGACCCAACCAAAGCAUUCACUGAGAAACAAUAAUUAUUCACAAAAACCCCAAACGAAAUCCAGUCAGUCAAGGCACCCGGACGCUGGGUCACUCCACUGUUCCUUCAGAAUUUGCAUUGUGAUCAGAAGUUCGGUGAAACAAAACCUGCCUUUCUCGCACCAGCAAACCUCAGUUCUCCACCUUCUGACCUCCACAAGUACAGAGCUGCUCGCUCACCCGAGUUAGUAUUUGGUCUAAAUGUCUGGCUUCUUCCCCACAUUGCCUCGCCUGUAAGUAUGUCUCUGGAGGACAUGCAUGCCUGGUGCUUGCAGAGGUCAGAAGACGGUCUGUCAC